rnacentral:lncRNA from 1 species
UGAGGACGUGGUGCAAACGUUAAGAAACCAACUUGUUGGAGGAACAUCACAACUUGAUGUUGUCUCAGUUGUUGGCACUUUUGGACAAGGUAAAACAACAGUUGCCAAAAAGCUAUUCUAUGACGAAUCAAUUACCUCUCUGUUUGAUGUUCAUGCAAAAUGUUUUCUUUGUUGGGAUUUUGCUUAAAAAUGAGAAGGGUCAUUAUCCCACAUUGGAAAAAACCUCUAUGUUUGAAAUUCAUGCAAAAUGUCUUCUUCCUGUUGUAUAUUUACGUAGAGAGUUGUUGGUAGCUAUUCUGAAUGAUGUGGUUGACAAACAAACUGAUCUUAGUGAAGUGCCUGAAGAUGAAUUAUCUGACAAGU